GACGAAGGGGGCUAGCGUUGUUCGGAAUUACUGGGCGUAAAGCGCGUGUAGGCGGUUUGCCAAGUCGGGUGUGAAAGCCUUGGGCUUAACCCAAGAAAUGCACUCGGUACUGGCAGACUAGAGGACCGGAGAGGAUAGUGGAAUUCCCAGUGUAGUGGUGAAAUACGUAGAGAUUGGGAAGAACACCAGUGGCGAAGGCGGCUAUCUGGACGGUUUCUGACGCUAAGACGCGAAAGCGUGGGGAGCAAACAGG
rnacentral:rRNA from 1 species